rnacentral:rRNA from 1 species
CAACUACAUUAAGUAUAGGAGGUCCAGCCUGCCCAGUGACUACGGGUUCAACGGCCGCGGUAUUUUGACCGUGCAAAGGUAGCGCAAUCACUUGUCUCUUAAAUAGAGACCUGUAUGAAUGGCUAGACGAGGGCUUAACUGUCUCCCCCUUCCAGUCAGUGAAAUUGAUCUAUCCGUGCAGAAGCGGGUAUAAUUAUACAAGACGAGAAGACCCUUUGGAGCUUAAGGUACAAGAUUCAACCAUGUUAAACGACUCUAUAAGAAGCACGAACUUAGUGGUGAAUGAAAUUUUACCUUCGGUUGGGGCGACCGCGGAGGAAAAAGAAGCCUCCGAGUGGACUGGGUUAAACCCCUAAAGCCAAUAGAUACAUCUAUAAGCCGCAGAACAUCUGACCAAAAAUGAUCCGACUGAAAAGCCGAUCAACGAACCAAGUUACCCUAGGGAUAACAGCGCAAUCCUCUCCCAGAGUCCAUAUCGACGAGGGGGUUUACGACCUCGAUGUUGGAUCAGGACAUCCUAAUGGUGCAGCCGCUAUUAAGGGUUCGUUUGUUCAACGAUUAAAGU